UCGCCGUCGGGGGACACAACUCCCGGAGGGGCGAGAAGGAGAUUGCUCGGGAGGGGGGACGGUGGUGGCGGUAGCAUCGGGUCUGGGGCAGCCCCCGGCCGCUGCAUCGAGCAGCCAUGAGCGGUUCCACCACCGCCUCCUCGACCAGUGGCAACGCAGCCGGGGAAGGGGCGGAGGACGCGGCGAAGGAUUCAGCAGACAUCGCGGCUUUCUUCCGAUCGGCAUGUGUAUGUGAACAUAAACCGCAUCAUGUUUGUAGCUAACCGUUCGGUGGAGUCUGGUCACUAUUCUUCACAGGAGAUCAAACAGCAGCAGGGCUUGCCUGCUUAUGAUACUCCAGAAGUAUUUGGACUGUGGAAAUUACUUACCAGAGCAAACUUGCAAAGGAUGUGCUGGAUACCGUUCCCAGCAUUCAGCAGAAAGACAGCUCCAGUGGAGGAGGUGAAACCAGGGAGGUUGUGGUUGCCAGGUUGGCUGAUGAUAUGCUGGAGAAGCUUCCUGUGA
rnacentral:lncRNA from 1 species